GGGCGAUUGGCACAGUUGGUAGCGCGCACGCUUCGCAUGGUCGAUCGAGUGACUUGGCCUUUGCAUGCGUGAGGUCCAGGUUUCGAAUACCUGAUCGUCCA